UGUGAGUGUGAGAGCGAGAACAGCCCCGCAGGUCCCGAGGCGCUGGCUGGGGACAAUGCCGCGGAAAGUUCCCAGUCCCCAGCCGCAGAUCUGCAGAAUUGAAAUGAAAUGUUUUGAGCUCUUCAAGCUGACUCGUCAGAAUCCUGGAGCCUUUUAAAAAAUGACGAAUUGGAAGGAAAAAUUACUUUAUCAAUAACCAGGCUCCACCAGGAUUGACCUAGAUGGUUGUUCCUGGCACUUGUCAUUCUCAGCAAGCACAGCUCAGAGAACAAAUACAAAAGACCCAAAGUGCAUUGCAUCUUUUAUGGAAGUGCCCAAUGUGGAAAUCAUAGAUUUCAAGGAAGGAACAAGAAAAUUGAUGAAACAAGUUCAAAAGAAAGGUACCUGUGCCUCAUCAUUCCUAAAGAACACUGAUCAAUGAUCCCAGAAGUAUGCCAUGUUCUCUUAAUUCAUCAGAGACUGAAAGCAAAGGAAAAUCAAGAAAUAAGCUUGGCCAAUUUGAUGUCAAUGGAAAUGCGUGAGAUUUUUAUUCAGCAUUCACACCUGAGCAAUGCUUUUGGUAUG
rnacentral:lncRNA from 2 species